rnacentral:rRNA from 1 species
CAAAAGCGUAUAUUAAAGUUGUUGCAGUUAAAAAGCUCGUAGUUGAACCUUGGGCUUGGCUGGCCGGUCCAUCUUUUUUGAUGCGUACUGGACCCAGCCGAGCCUUUCCUUCUGGCUAGCCUUUUGGCGAACCAGGACUUUUACUUUGAAAAAAUUAGAGUGUUCAAAGCAGGCCUUUGCUCGAAUAUAUUAGCAUGGAAUAAUAGAAUAGGACGUUAUGGUUCUAUUUUGUUGGUUUCUAGGACCAUCGUAAUGAUUAAUAGGGACGGUCGGGGGUAUCAGUAUUCAGUUGUCAGAGGUGAAAUUCUUGGAUUUACUGAAGACUAACUACUGCGAAAGCAUUUACCAAGGACGUCUUCAUUAA